UAUUGUGCAUAUUGGCUGCGUUUGUCUCAAGUGUCAUUUAUUCAUUUUUGAAAUUAAACUAAUUUCUCCAUGGAUGAUCAUUUUGACAUGGUCAAGAUAGAUCGAUGAGAUGAACGGUUGACAAUGAAUGAGGUGUGACCUAUGCCACCGCAGUGGCUACCGGCUAUUGAAUUCUCAUAGCUUAGAUUCCAGAUUCUGCUGCAGCCAUGUUUUUGGCCUCGUAAUCGCUUCCGAUUAAAUUUCAGAAGCUUGCUUAGCCAUCAGACUCCAUGGGAGACAUGGUGAUCAUUUUGAAAUUAAACCUCACAUAUUUGCACCUUGUAUCAUUGAUGAUCACAGUUAGCAUAGCAUCACAGAAAAUAAACAAGUCUUCUACUCUAGAAGUUGUUUGAAUCCAGUGAUCCAGUUUUCAUUCCAGUUCCUGAUAACUCUGCCAAUAAGAGGAGGUUUACUCUGUCUUGCCCUUAGAAACUAUGCUCAUGUUCCUUUUAUGAAGUGUCUCUAAUGU